rnacentral:rRNA from 1 species
CGGUAGCACAGAGAGCUUGCUCUCGGGUGACGAGUGGCGGACGGGUGAGUAAUGUCUGGGAAACUGCCUGAUGGAGGGGGAUAACUACUGGAAACGGUAGCUAAUACCGCAUAACGUCGCAAGACCAAAGAGGGGGACCUUCGGGCCUCUUGCCAUCAGAUGUGCCCAGAUGGGAUUAGCUAGUAGGCGGGGUAAUGGCCCACCUAGGCGACGAUCCCUAGCUGGUCUGAGAGGAUGACCAGCCACACUGGAACUGAGACACGGUCCAGACUCCUACGGGAGGCAGCAGUGGGGAAUAUUGCACAAUGGGCGCAAGCCUGAUGCAGCCAUGCCGCGUGUGUGAAGAAGGCCUUCGGGUUGUAAAGCACUUUCAGCGGGGAGGAAGGCAGUCCGGUUAAUAACCGUGCUGAUUGACGUUACCCGCAAAAGAAGCACCGGCUAACUCCGUGCCAGCAGCCGCGGUAAUACGGAGGGUGCAAGCGUUAAUCGGAAUUACUGGGCGUAAAGCGCACGCAGGCGGUCUGUCAAGUCGGAUGUGAAAUCCCCGGGCUCAACCUGGGAACUGCAUUCAAAACUGGCAGGCUGGAGUCUCGUAGAGGGAGGUAGAAUUCCAGGUGUAGCGGUGAAAUGCGUAGAGAUCUGGAGGAAUACCGGUGGCGAAGGCGGCCUCCUGGACGAAGACUGACGCUCAGGUGCGAAAGCGUGGGGAGCAAACAG